rnacentral:rRNA from 1 species
GACGAACGCUGGCGGCGUGCCUAACACAUGCAAGUCGAGCGAUGAAGUUUCCUUCGGGAAAUGGAUUAGCGGCGGACGGGUGAGUAACACGUGGGUAACCUGCCUCAUAGAGGGGAAUAGCCUCCCGAAAGGGAGAUUAAUACCGCAUAAUAUUACAGUUUCGCAUGAAACAGUAAUUUAAGGAGCAAUCCGCUAUGAGAUGGACCCGCGGCGCAUUAGCUAGUUGGUGAGGUAACGGCUCACCAAGGCGACGAUGCGUAGCCGACCUGAGAGGGUGAUCGGCCACAUUGGGACUGAGACACGGCCCAGACUCCUACGGGAGGCAGCAGUGGGGAAUAUUGCACAAUGGGGGAAACCCUGAUGCAGCAACGCCGCGUGAGUGAUGACGGUCUUCGGAUUGUAAAGCUCUGUCUUUGGGGACGAUAAUGACGGUACCCAAGGAGGAAGCCACGGCUAACUACGUGCCAGCAGCCGCGGUAAGAC